rnacentral:ncRNA from 12 species
CUUGGAUCCCGGUUUCAUCCCGGGUGGCUAUUCCGGCCGCCAAUCCGCCGGAGCGAC